rnacentral:rRNA from 1 species
UACGAAGGGUGCAAGCGUUACUCGGAAUUACUGGGCGUAAAGCGUGCGUAGGUGGUUUGUUAAGUCUGUUAUGAAAGCCCCGGGCUCAACCUGGGAAUGGCAAUGGAUACUGGCAAGCUAGAGUGCGGUAGAGGGUAGUGGAAUUCCCGGUGUAGCGGUGAAAUGCGUAGAGAUCGGGAGGAACACCAGUGGCGAAGGCGGCUACCUGGACCAGCACUGACACUGAGGCACGAAAGCGUGGGGAGCAAACAGG